GACGAACGCUGGCGGCGUGCUUAACACAUGCAAGUCGAACGGUAAGGCCCUUCGGGGUACACGAGUGGCGAACGGGUGAGUAACACGUGGGUGAUCUGCCCUGCACUUCGGGAUAAGCCUGGGAAACUGGGUCUAAUACCGGAUAGGACCACUGCCUGCAUGGGUGGGGGUGGAAAGCUUUUGCGGUGUGGGAUGGGCCCGCGGCCUAUCAGCUUGUUGGUGGGGUGAUGGCCUACCAAGGCGACGACGGGUAGCCGGCCUGGGAGGGUGACCGGCCACACUGGGAGUGAGAUACGGCCCAGACUCGUACGGGAGGCAGCAGUGGGGAAUAUUGCCCAAUGGGCGCAAGCCUGAUGCAGCGACGCCGCGUGAGGGAUGCCGGCCUUCGGGUUGUAAACCUCUUUCAGCACCGACGAAGCGCAAGUGACGGUAGGUGCAGCAGAAGGACCGGCCAACUACGUGCCAGCCGCCGCCGUAA
rnacentral:rRNA from 1 species